UACAGAGGGUGCAAGCGUUGUUCGGAAUUAUUGGGCGUAAAGCGCGUGUAGGCGGCUUUGCAAGUCGGGUGUGAAAGCCCUCAGCUUAACUGAGGAAGUGCGCCCGAAACUGCAGAGCUUGAGUACCGGAGAGGAUGGUGAAUUCCCCAAGUAGAGGUGAAAUUCGUAGAUAUGGGGAGGAACACCGGUGGCGAAGGCGACCAUCUGGACGGAUACUGACGCUGAGACGCGAAAGCGUGGGUAGCAAACAGG
rnacentral:rRNA from 1 species